UGUCGUUCCUACCUGUCGUGUUGCUGUAUGCUGUCGUUGCUAGCUGUGCGUUAAGCUAUUCCCUGGAUCCUGACUCCUGUUCCUGCUUCCUGAACAUGAAAAGGCUGACAGAGCCGAGCGGGAAGAGGAAAAAGUCCGGCCGCGGAGAAAGCCAAAAAGACGUAGAGACAGACAAUUCUGCUGGCGUUCCAGCACAGCAAAUGUCGUCAGCGACCAGCAACCGGGAAAGAAGGGUGACGAGUUCAACAAAGAAACAUAAAUAUUUGAUCAAGGCCAGAUUGACAGGGGAACAAAAGCCACAACAGUCGUCGCCCCAAGACGGCUCCUUUCUCACCGCCUAGGAGGAGACCUGCGUCAGUAACUGUCUCCAAAUACUUUUGGGUACACUUUGCUGAAGUGUGUGUACUCACCUCAUUGAGGAACAAGUCACUAGUGUGAAUACACCACUGUUGUUAUUUAGCAUUUGGAACACCAGUUACAGUUUUAUGAUUUCACAUCAUACAUCAUAGAAGUGAUGGAGGAAAAUGUUGGUUAUGUUUCCAUUCAUGUCACGUGAUCAUUAAAUAAAUGUGAAUUAUUUUA